rnacentral:rRNA from 1 species
GACGAACGCUGGCGGCGUGCCUAACACAUGCAAGUCGAACGGAAAACAUAGCAAUAUGUUUUUAGUGGCGAACGGGUGAGUAACGCGUAGACAACCAACCUUUUUGUGGGGGACAACACUUCGAAAGGAGUGCUAAUACCGCAUACGCUCCAGAUGCCGCCUGGCAUUUGGAGGAAAGGAGCUGUAAGGCUUCGCAAAAAGACGGGUCUGCGUCUGAUUAGCUAGUUGGAGGGGUAACGGCCCACCAAGGCGACGAUCAGUAGCCGGUCUGAGAGGAUGGACGGCCACACUGGGACUGAGACACGGCCCAGACUCCUACGGGAGGCAGCAGUGGGGAAUCUUCCGCAAUGGACGAAAGUCUGACGGAGCGACGCCGCGUGAGUGAUGAAGGCCCUUGGGUCGUAAAGCUCUGUCAUCAGGGACGAACGGUCACGUCAGGAAAUGGGCGUGAAUUGACGGUACCUGAGAAGGAAGCCACGGCUAACUACGUGCCAGCCGCCGCCGUAAAA